rnacentral:miRNA from 1 species
GGGGAACAGGGCAAGGUGGA